rnacentral:rRNA from 1 species
AUUGAACGCUGGCGGCAUGCCUUACACAUGCAAGUCGAACGGUAACGCGGGGCAACCUGGCGACGAGUGGCGAACGGGUGAGUAAUGCAUCGGAACGUGCCCAGUAGUGGGGGAUAGCCCGGCGAAAGCCGGAUUAAUACCGCAUACGACCUACGGGUGAAAGCGGGGGACCGUAAGGCCUCGCGCUAUUGGAGCGGCCGAUGUCAGAUUAGGUUGUUGGUGGGGUAAAAGCCUACCAAGCCGACGAUCUGUAGCUGGUCUGAGAGGACGUCCAGCCACACUGGGACUGAGACACGGCCCAGACUCCUACGGGAGGCAGCAGUGGGGAAUUUUGGACAAUGGGGGCAACCCUGAUCCAGCCAUGCCGCGUGCGGGAAGAAGGCCUUCGGGUUGUAAACCGCUUUUGUCAGGGAAGAAACGCUCUGGGCUAAUACCCCGGGGUAAUGACGGUACCUGAAGAAUAAGCACCGGCUAACUACGUGCCAGCAGCCGCAGUAAAAC